CAUGCUAUAACCUAAAUUUGAGUUGAAAAUCAACCAUCAUUAUUUCAGUUGAGUACAAUUUUUUAGCUGUUGUCCAUCUAGUAAAUCUCUGCGUCUUAUAGGUAGUUAUAUUACAGCUUUCUCUUCACCAAUUAUUUCAGUUGACCACCCCUUACUUCCAUCAGUUACCAUGUAUCUAAUGUCUUACAACUGGUAAGUCAACUGUCUGCCAACAUCUAUUUGUCCUCCAAAU